rnacentral:rRNA from 1 species
UACGGGGGGGGCAAGCGUUGUUCGGAAUUACUGGGCGUAAAGGGCUCGUAGGCGGCCAACUAAGUCGGACGUGAAAUCCCUCGGCUUAACCGGGGAACUGCGUCCGAUACUGGAUGGCUUGAGUGUGGGAGAGGGAUGCGGAAUUCCAGGUGUAGCGGUGAAAUGCGUAGAUAUCUGGAGGAACACCGGUGGCGAAGGCGGCAUCCUGGACCGGCAUUGACGCUGAGGCGCGAAAGCCAGGGGAGCAAACGGG